rnacentral:rRNA from 1 species
AAUGGGGGAUAACGUAGCGAAAGUUACGCUAAUACCGCAUAUGCCCUGAGGGGGAAAGGUGGGGAUCGCAAGACCUAUCGUUUUCGGAGUGGCCGAUAUCAGAUUAGCUAGUUGGUGGGGUAAAGGCCCACCAAGGCGACGAUCUGUAGCGGGUCUGAGAGGAUGAUCCGCCACACUGGGACUGAGACACGGCCCAGACUCCUACGGGAGGCAGCAGUGGGGAAUUUUGGACAAUGGGGGCGACCCUGAUCCAGCCAUGCCGCGUGAGUGAAGAAGGCCUUCGGGUUGUAAAGCUCUUUCAGCCGGAAAGAAAUCGCGCAGGCUAAUAUCCUGCGUGGAUGACGGUACCGGAAGAAGAAGCACCGGCUAACUACGUGCCAGCAGCCGCGGUAAUACGUAGGGUGCGAGCGUUAAUCGGAAUUACUGGGCGUAAAGCGUGCGCAGGCGGUUUUGUAAGACAGGCGUGAAGUCCCCGGGCUUAACCUGGGAACUGCGUUUGUGACUGCAAGGCUAGAGUGUGGCAGAGGGGGGUAGAAUUCCG